rnacentral:rRNA from 1 species
GACGAACGCUGGCGGCGUGCCUAAUACAUGCAAGUAGAACGCUGAAGGAGGAGCUUGCUUCUCUGGAUGAGUUGCGAACGGGUGAGUAACGCGUAGGUAACCUGCCUGGUAGCGGGGGAUAACUAUUGGAAACGAUAGCUAAUGCCGCAUAAUAGCAGUUGUUGCAUGAUAACUGUUUGAAAGGUGCAAUUGCACCACUACCAGAUGGACCUGCGUUGUAUUAGCUAGUUGGUGGGGUAACGGCUCACCAAGGCGACGAUACAUAGCCGACCUGAGAGGGUGAUCGGCCACACUGGGACUGAGACACGGCCCAGACUCCUACGGGAGGCAGCAGUAGGGAAUCUUCGGCAAUGGACGGAAGUCUGACCGAGCAACGCCGCGUGAGUGAAGAAGGUUUUCGGAUCGUAAAGCUCUGUUGUAAGAGAAGAACGAGUGUGAGAGUGGAAAGUUCACACUGUGACGGUAUCUUACCAGAAAGGGACGGCUAACUACGUG